UAAGAUUAACGUUUGUCUCUUUUUGUACUCAUACUUUUAGGGACAAAGUGCAUUUGAGCGGGGAAUAUGUAAUGAUGCGAUUUGUUCGUGUGAUGGGAUUGCGCUGCAGCUAUUGUUUGCGUUAUUGUUCUUGUAUUUGCAUAUUCAUCUCGUGCAUGUUCAUGCAAAUACACAGCUGCUCCGCGGUAUAUAUGCUUUUGUGGGCUCUUGCAACGGGUUUUCGUUUGUUCCGUUGCAAGCCCUGCACACGUUAUUUUGGCAGUAUGCAGUUCGUUAUUUUGGCAAUAUGCAGUUCUGAAGUCCAUGAUUGAUUAAUAUACCGUUAGCUUGGUGGUCAGUAAUAGUCUGAAGUUAUGGAAAUUUUGGUGGCCAGUAAUAGUCUGAAGUUACAGAAGUUUUGGUGGCCAUUAUUAGUCUGUAGUUAACAGAAGUUUGUUGGAGCGUCCAAUAGUCUGUAGUUUCAGAAGUGUUGUUGGAGCGUGCAAUAGUCGUAGUUUACAGACUGGUGCAUUAAGCAGACUCUAGCUUGAGGUAAAUACAAGUUAUUACACCAUUUUAAUCGGCUAUGCUAUUUAAUCAUCAAAUUGUUUCUGAUGUUGGUGUGUUGCCAGGUUAUAUCAGAAUAUUUGUUAAAUUGUAUAACUUGCCUAAUGUUGUUAUGCUUGAUAUACUAUAUAAUUAUAACGCAUUAUAUAAUUCUUGUUUGGAAUAUAUAUUUUGCAGGGUUUUGUUUCGUAUAGUUCGCUUUGGUUUAUGUGCAAAUAAAACGUUGAAUGCUACAAACAGAUGUCUUGUGAUUGAUUACCAACCGAGUCUAAACUACUCAAGGAAGAUUGUACCGCCCUUUUCAAUAUCUUUCUAAAGUAGAACCAAGACAUAAAUAUCUUUGAUUUUGAAGGGAAAUAACAGAUCUUAAGUUUGAGUAGGAAUGUUUUAUGUACUGUAAAUUUACUAAUUCAUUCUUUGCCUAAAGACACGACAGCAAAAUCACCUGAAUUAAGACAAUUAAAGAAAAAUAGCAUUUUGCAUAUUUUAAUUGACAGUAGACACUUUCCCCCUGCCAUUGAUUUUUUUUUAUCUUGACCUGCAUAGUGUGAGUUUUUAAUCACAUUUUUUUAAAUGCCAAGGACUAUGAAAUGCAUGUUUUUCUUAGCUCUGUUUUAAAGAUUUUUUUUCUAUAUCUUUCAGCAAUUGUGGAAUUCCGAAAAAAAAGUUAAUACCAACAAGCUAUUGUGAUUCAGUAUUUCGAACUUCAUACUAUCUGAAAUUUUAGUAAGAUUCUUCAUUUGCCUUUGUCAUCUGACAAGAAAAUGCAUGGUUAUGGAGAAAUGCUGCUUCAAUACACAAAGAAUGUUGGUUUAUAUGCACGCCUGAUGCAAACGAUUCUUUAAUAUGGUUCUAUAUUAUAAACUCUAGUGAUGCUAUAAUAUAAUAGGCUUAUAAUUAUAGACAAAAAUGCUGAUAUAAACAGGACUGUAAGCGUAACAGUAAAGACUUAGCCAAAUGAUAUGCGAAGGGGUAUGCAAAUACCUACCCCAUGAAGUACAGCUGAUGUUUUUUAUUUAAAGAAAUUAUGGUUUGUA